UGGGAUCCUAAAAUAACCGCAAUACAAGAGAUAAAAAAUUUAAAUGAUUUUCCAUUAGAAGAAUUAAUCGGGUCAUUAAUGACCUAUGAAAUGACACUUUUGGAACAUUUUGAACCCGAUGAGCACUUGAACCACCUUCCAAAGAAUAGGAAGGAUUUGGAACUCCGGACAAAUGAAUACCACUUGAGCGAUGACUCAAGUGAUGAGGACAAUGAUGAACUUGAACUUCGAACACUAAAUCUUAAUAAGUUUAUUAAACAAAAAUCUAAAAUAAAUAAUGAACUUGAACGGAGGAAGAGGCUAAAGAAGAGGAAGGUAACCAAGGAUGAAUCAAGAACUUCC
rnacentral:lncRNA from 1 species